rnacentral:rRNA from 1 species
CKUARUCUAGAGACCGGAUCCAGAUCCUACCGAGUCAKCAUGAGGAAAUUGCCAAUGGUAUCCURGGMGCACGCCGGCUGGAGGAUGAGCAUCGRUGGUAAUUCCUUUAUGAGUCAGAAAUGACGUAGUCAWGAAUAAGCACCGCUACUCGUGCAGCAGCGCGUAAUACGAAGGGUGCAAGSGUACUCGAAUCACUGGGSGUAAAGGACGCGUAGGCGGGUUGGUAAGUCAGAUGUGAAAUCCUACAGCUCAACUGUAGAACUGCAUUUGAAACUACCGACCUAGAGUAUGGGAGGGGGAGAUGGAAUUAGUGGUGUAGGGGUAAAAUCCGUAGAUAUCACUAGGAAUACCAAAAGCGAAGGCGAUCUCCUGGAACAUUACUGACGCUAAGGCGUGAAAGCGUGGGGAGCAAACAGGAUUAGAUACCUGGUAGUCCACGCCCUAAACGAUGAACACUAGUCGUCGGAAAGCUUGUCUUUUCGGUGAUGCACUUAACAGAUUAAGUGUUCCGCCUGGGGAGUACGGUCGCAAGAUUAAAACUCAAAGGAAUAGACGGGGACCCGCACAAGUGGUGGAGCAUGUGGUUUAAUUCGAAGAUACGCGAAAAACCUUACCUGGCCUUGACAUUGAUAGAAUCUGCUAGAGAUAGCGGAGUGCCCUUCGGGGAGCUUGAAAACAGGUGCUGCACGGCUGUCGUCAGCUCGUGUCGUGAGAUGUUGGGUUAAGUCCCGCAACGAGCGCAACCCUCGUCCUUAGUUGCMAGCMGGUUAAGCUGGGCACUCUMGGGAGACUGCCUUYGUAAGGAGGAGGAAGGUGAGGACGACGUCAAGUCAUCAUGGCCCUUAUGGCCAGGGCUACACACGUGCUACAAUGGGGCGUACAGAGAGUUGCAAUACCGCGAGGUGGAGCCAAUCUCACAAAGCGUCUYUCAGUUCGGAUUGAAGUYUGCAACUMGACUUCAUGAAGCUGGAAUCAMUAGUAAUCGUAGAUCAGCAWUGCUACGGUGAAUACGUUCCCGGGUSUKGUACUCGCCGCCCGUCACACCAUGGGAGUUGAUUUCACCCGAAAUUGGGAAGCUAACCUUCGGGAGGCUACCAUWUACGSUGGAAUUAGCSACUGGGGUGAAGUCGUAACAAGGUAACCGU